AGAUAUGCCUGAGUAAGCCAAAGCAAUUAACUGGGCUAAAGGGUAAGAACUAAUAGUUGAUAGGAGGCUUUAGAGUAAGAAGCUAUUAUUCCUAGUGUCUGAUAUUUUAUUGUUAAACCAAGACGAGCUUUGAAGAGGAACUUUUCUACUUUCUACACUUGUGAAGUUAGAAGCAACAUCAAGAGCAACCUGAGAGGAUCCCAUGCCGGGACAGGUGUGACUACAACAGAAUGAGAGCAAGAGACAGUGACAGCAGAUGAAGUCUGAGAACAGCUACCAGAUGGAGUUUCACUCUUGUUGCCCAAGCUGGAGUGCAAUGGCGCGAUCUUGGCUGACCGCAACUUACACCUCCCAGGUUCAAGUGAUUCUGCUGCCUCAGCCUCCUGAGUAACUGGGAUCACAG